AGAACGAACGCUGGCGGCAUGCCUAACACAUGCAAGUCGAACGAGACCUUCGGGUCUAGUGGCGCACGGGUGCGUAACGCGUGGGAACCUGCCCUUAGGUUCGGGAUAACUCAGAGAAAUUUGAGCUAAUACCGGAUAAUGUCUUCGGACCAAAGAUUUAUCGCCUAUGGAUGGGCCCGCGUAGGAUUAGCUAGUUGGUGGGGUAAAGGCCUACCAAGGCGACGAUCCUUAGCUGGUCUGAGAGGAUGAUCAGCCACACUGGGACUGAGACACGGCCCAGACUCCUACGGGAGGCAGCAGUGGGGAAUAGUUGAC
rnacentral:rRNA from 1 species